rnacentral:tRNA from 1 species
CGGGGCGUAGCGCAGUCCGGUUAGCGCGCGUCGUUCGGGACGACGAGGUCGGAGGUUCAAAUCCUCUCGCCCCGACCA